rnacentral:misc_RNA from 1 species
GAUGAAGAACGUAGCGAAAUGCGAUACGUAAUGUGAAUUGCAAAUUCAGUGAAUCAUCGAGUCUUUGAACGCACAUUGCGCCCCCCGGUAUUCCGGGGGGCAUGCCUGUCCGAGCGUCAUUGCUGCCCUCAAGCACGGCUUGUGUGUUGGGCCCCGUCCUCCGAUCCCGGGGGACGGGCCCGAAAGGCAGCGGCGGCACCGCGUCCGGUCCUCGAGCGUAUGGGGCUUUGUCACCCGCUCUGUAGGCCCGGCCGGCGCUUGCCGAUCAACCCAAAUUUUUUAUCCAGGUUGACCUCGGAUCAGGUAGGGAUACCCGCUGAACUUAAGCAUAUCAAUAAGCGGAGGA